CUGCUCGGGGGCGAUUUCAACAUGGUCACCACAUCCGCGGACACGAGCAACGGCUGUAUCAACCAGCGUACGACCAAUCGUUUCUGGUGCUUCAUCGCUGACCACGCCUUGCGCGACAUAUACAUGCAUGGGCGACGCUACACAUGGUCUAAUGAGCAGCAGAACCCUACCCUCGUCCGCAACGACCGCGUCCUG
rnacentral:rRNA from 1 species